AAAAAGGGCUUCUGCCUGACUGGCACACGCCAGGCAGCUCGUUUGUCCUGCGUGCGGAAUCGACAUCAAGAGAUUUCGGGAAAAAGAAAAAAAAAAAAGAUUUCGGAAGCAUAAUUUUUGGGCCCCUG